CCCCAUAGUCAUCGCUGUGGCACCAGUGGCUGUCACCCUGCUCCUGUCCGCAGCCUCCUGCUGGAUCAUCAAGAAAGGUGCUUGUGGGAAGAGAUGCUGUAGUGCUGAGGGAUCUCCUGCCGACCACGAUUCUUACUAUGCCAACGUGGAUGAAAUGAGGAGAGUGAAGGUGAGUUGUGCUCUUG